ensembl:antisense
AUUGUACGCAGAUGAUGGAGAGGCGGGACAUGGGGUGGCAGGGGCUCCUGGCCUUAGCCUCUCAGCCCUAAUAUUCGUGAUCAAGUCUUCCGGUUCGUUUAAAGGUGGCCAUGGUGUAGCAGAUUGCUGCAGAUGGUUUCAAUAGUCCUGCUGAAUGCUCCUCGUCUGUGCCUGCAAGAGGAACUCAAGGCUUUAUGUAUGGCCAUUGCUGUGACCUAGUGUGAUGCUCUACUUUUCCACUGAACUCUGCUUGCUCUAACUGAGGACCUUAGCUAUAAUUUAGCCUUUUCUUUUUAUAUUAAGCUGUUGUUGAGGAAGGAGCUUUGGCAAUAGAAGAAAGCAAGCAGCAGGUUCAUUUCCACUGUUGACACAACUGGAAACGGAUCCCUACUUUAUGCAUUGGAGAUGCUAUGAAGACUACUCUGUCUGAUGUUUCCCUAUUGGGGUAGUGAAGUGUGAUGCUUCAUUGGUUGAGUGUAUGCAAUCAAAGUAAGAGUGAAAAAGGAAGAUCUGAGGAGUGGGCAGAUGCCUGCCGGGUAAACUAUUUGUGGCAUAAACUUGAGGACCCCACAGGAAAGCCAGAUGUUGUCAUGUGCUUCUAACCACAAUUCUGCUAUUGAAUGGGGGAUUACUGGCCAGUGACUAGCCAAAAUGGUGAGCUUCAUGUGCUGAGAGAACUACCUAUCUCAAAAAAAUAAGGUGAAAGGGCUAGAGAGGUGGCAAAGUAGCACUGACUGAUCUCUCAGAGGAGAACGUGGAUUCAACUCCUAGCACCCACAUAGCAGCCAACAACCAUCUGUAACUCCAGUCUCAGGGGAUUUAGUGCCUUUUUAUAUCCUCAGUGAACACUGCACAUAUAUUGUGCAUAGACAUACAUUCAGUCAAACAAACACUCAGACACAUAAAAAUAAAUGAAAUCUCAAAAUAUUUUAAAAAGAUAAUGUGGAGGGUGAUUGAGGCCUUAUAUUAAUCUUUAGACUUUACAAAAUGAGUUUUACACACACACACACACAAAACACACAAACACACUAUAUGUACACACACAUAUAUACACUGACACACACACUUGAAAAAUUGUUAUUGUUUAAAAUUUUUUGAUAACUUGUCUCAGAAUUUUUAUUAUUGAUUUUAUUAUAAUAUUUAUUUUGAGUCUACAGUAAAUCUUUAUGCUGGAACUAGACUUCAGGAUUAUUAUAAGAUACAUUUAAUGUAUAAAUUUGAGUUCAUAAUGGCGAGAAUAAUUCUUUUAUGGCUGUGGUAAUAAAGUAUCAUUAUCUUCUUAGAUCUAAUGUAAGAUUCAAACUCUGACCCACUAACUUCCAAGUCCCUUCUUAAAAGUGCUGUAUUAAACUGCAUGAAACUUUUUUCCCCCUUUUUUCUUUUUCAAGUCAGAGUUAUUUUGUGUAGUCCUAAUUGUCCCGGAACAAUGGUUGCCUGUGAGCCCCAGCAUCUGUAAUAGUCAGGAUCUGGCAGAGUCUUUCAGGAGACACUGUAUCAGGCUCCUGUCAGCAAGCACUUCUUGGCAUCAGAAAUAGUGUCUCGGUUUGGUGUUUGCAUAUGGGAUGGAUUCCCAGGUGGGGCAGCCUCUGGAAGGUCUUUUCUUUCAGUCUCUGCUCCACUUUUUGUCCCUGUAUUUCCCUCAGAAAGGAGCAAUUCUGGGUUAAAAUUUUUGAGAUGGGUGGGUGGCUCCAUCCCUCAAGUGGGAUGCCAUGCCUAACCUCGAGAUAUGGUCUCAACAGGUUUUCAUUCCCCUUUGUGGGGCAUUUCAGCUAAUGUCAUCUCCAUGGGGUCCUGGGAGGCUCUUGCUUUCCUGGCAUUUGGGACUUUCUGGUUGCUACCCCCAGUUCUGUGAGGAGAGGGUGUGGCAGCAGUCCCAAGAU